rnacentral:rRNA from 1 species
GACGAACGCUGGCGGCGUGCUUAACACAUGCAAGUCGAACGGAAAGGCCCUGCUUUUGUGGGGUGCUCGUGUGGCGAACGGGUGAGUAACACGUGAGUAACCUGCCCUUGACUUUGGGAUAACUUCAGGAAACUGGGGCUAAUACCGGAUAGGAGCUCCUGCUGCAUGGUGGGGGUUGGAAAGUUUCGGCGGUUGGGGAUGGACUCGCGGCUUAUCAGCUUGUUGGUGGGGUAGUGGCUUACCAAGGCUUUGACGGGUAGCCGGCCUGAGAGGGUGACCGGCCACAUUGGGACUGAGAUACGGCCCAGACUCCUACGGGAGGCAGCAGUGGGGAAUAUUGCACAAUGGGCGGAAGCCUGAUGCAGCAACGCCGCGUGCGGGAUGACGGCCUUCGGGUUGUAAACCGCUUUCGCCUGUGACGAAGCGUGAGUGACGGUAGUGGGUAAAGAAGCACCGGCUAACUACGUG